rnacentral:lncRNA from 12 species
GGGGGGGGGGGGGGGGGGGGGGGGGGGGGGGGGGGGGGGGGGGGGGGGGGGGGGGGGAGGUCUGGGGGUCCCUGAGAACUGGGAAUGUCCCAGGAGGGAUGGGUGGGGGUCCCUGGGAACUGGGAUUGUCCUGAGGGGGGUCUGGGGGUCUCUGGCAAACAGGAAUGUCCCGGGGGGAUGGGUGGGGGUCCCUGGAAAGCAGGGGCGUGCUGGGGCUGGGUGGAUGGGGGUCUCCAGCGUUCAGGGUUGUCCUUUCCGGGCUGUGCCCAGCCCCGGGGUGUCCCCUGUGCCCCCCCAGGUGCCCUCGGUGCAGGACACGGUGCAGGAGCACCUGGGGCAGGUGAGGACGGGCGGGGCCCAGGCCGUGCCCGACCGGGACCGCGCCGAGCUCAAGAGGAGGAAGCUGCUCCUGGAAGUGACCCUCAAGUCGUUUUGGAUCCGCAAGGGCAGCGCCUUCAGCACGGCGCUGGCGCGGCCGGAGACGGAGCUGACCCCGGAGAUGAUCGCCACCGGCUCCUGGCGCCGGCUGCCCUUCAAACCCUACAACUUGUGACCCAUGGGGAGGGUCUCUGUCCUUGUGUGAUCCAUUCCCAUAAUGAAGUCGCGAUGUCCCUCACCCUGU